GACGAACGCUGGCGGCGUGCCUAAUACAUGCAAGUAGAACGCACAGUUUAUACCGUAGCUUGCUACACCAUAGACUGUGAGUUGCGAACGGGUGAGUAACGCGUAGGUAACCUGCCUGGUAGCGGGGGAUAACUAUUGGAAACGAUAGCUAAUACCGCAUAAUAUUGAUUAUUGCAUGAUAAUUGAUUGAAAGAUGCUAUUGCAUCACUACCAGAUGGACCUGCGUUGUAUUAGCUAGUAGGUGAGGUAACGGCUCACCUAGGCGACGAUACAUAGCCGACCUGAGAGGGUGAUCGGCCACACUGGGACUGAGACACGGCCCAGACUCCUACGGGAGGCAGCAGUAGGGAAUCUUCGACAAUGGACGAAAGUCUGACCGAGCAACGCCGCGUGAGUGAAGAAGGUUUUCGGAUCGUAAAGCUCUGUUGUAAGAGAAGAACGGGUGUGAGAGUGGAAAGUUCACACUGUGACGGUAUCUUACCAGAAAGGGACGGCUAACUACGUG
rnacentral:rRNA from 1 species